CCCCCUUCAUCCUCAGGCACCCCCAAUGCUAACACUUUUAACCCUCGGGCCGCAUGUUCUCGAAGUCAGAGCACCGACGCUGAGAGGCCAAGGAGCGGUGGUGAACGCCGCCACCCCUCUCAGAUCCGGGGGUGAGAUAGAGAGGUGGGUCACCUGGGAGAGGGAGAACUAGCCCCCGCUCUCGUCACCAUGGCGCCUCCACCGCCGCCGCCACGCCAGGGGCCUCCAUCGAUCUGCACUCGCCGGAUCUGUUCAAGGAGAAUCUGGCCAUUGACUGCCGGUGCUUUCCCUCCCCCGACGGUGAGUGGUAUUUUCCCUCCCCUGCUCCCUCUCCACCCCUUCCCAAUCAGUGCUACCGUGGUUUGAUUUGUUCCAUUUCCUUUUUCUCUUCAGAUCCGCCAUGACUUGUGGUAAUUCUUCUAUCCAGCAAGCAGCUCUUCGGUUGGGAGUUGGAGCAGAAUGUAAGAUUUGGUUUAGGUUAUACGGUAUUUUGUUUAACUGUCCAGAAUCUAUUAAACAAUUGCAAAUUUGUACUACUAAUUCUUAUAGUGAAAAGUUAGACGUCAGGUCAUGGUUUGACAGGUGUAAGGUUGUGGUUUGGUAGUUUCUAGCGAUUCUGUAGUAUAAUCGAUAAAAUCUAGUAGACAUACAAGAGUAUGAAAUUUGGCUUUAUGCUCUUCUUUCCUGAUGAUGACUUCGGCGGCAAUUUUAUUUUCUUCUAUUGCUUUUAAUGUUUGUCUGCAGUGGCGGAGCUACAAAGAAAAGCCUGGGCGGGCCAAUCUAAAAAAACACGAAAAAAAUUCAACCCAAGGAAAGGAUGAUGAGCUGCUGCUGAAAAGUCUUCCUCAACUUAAUCUGUAACGUACAUCUCUUUUUUCACUUGAAAACCAAAUCGAUUUUGCAUUGAUCAGCCUUGCUACCCAGUGCCUAUGGAAAUUAUCUACUAUCCAAAUUAGGAUGUGUAUUAUCAAUUCACUGAAUUUCGGAGUGCUAUAGCCUACAUUUUAUAGGAAAAUUAGACUGCCUGGGAGAUGAGAGUUUGUGGGUUGUGCAUGUGCCUGUGCUAGUGCAGCAGCGCUCGUCGCCUAGGUCUGCACUUGCCGUCACCCGACUGGGCGCAGCCGCUGCUAGCUGCCGCCUGGGGCGUGGCCAAGCCACCGCGGCAUGGGUCGCCCUGGAGCAUCCGCAGUCCGCAUCGCUCUAGUUCUACGCUGCUACUCGCUGCGGCCGUCAGCUGGACCUUAAUUUGCGGCUCCGCCCCACCUCUCUCUAUCCCUCUGUGCAGCUGUACGUGUGGCUCGUGCCCUAGCAUGGAGGGCGACUGAGGCUGGAUGCAAGGAGAGAAGCCUGACGAGGCGAGACAGCAUGCGAGUGAGGUAGUCGUGGGCUGGCCUGCACGUAUAUAGCUAUAUUUUUACCUCAGCGGCUGGGCGGGCCAUGGCACGCUUUUGCCCUCACGACGCUCCGCCAGUGGUCUGCACCAUUCGAGCUAGCAUGUUUUGCACCAAGAAAUUAAAGUGCACAGUGUUUUUUCAUCAAAUAUUCAUCUAUAGGCGUAUGACCUUUAUUUUGUUUAUUAAAGGCAGAACCAAUUGGCAGGCGCAACAGCUGCACCAUUUAUGUAGGCAACCACCCUGCAGACAUUCUUAAGAGGGAGGUUGAGGAUAUCUUUUACACGGUCCAUAUUCAAUUUUGUGUAAUGAUUUUGGCAUUAGCUUUCCUUGUGGCUUUGGCAAUUAUGUAAAGAUAAUUGACUAUAUCACAAACUAAUGAAGUUUUUGACCAAGUUUUCACUGUAAGUUGUACAUAGUAAGGAAACUAUGCUAUAGGUUGCAGCUCAUUUACAAGGCAUUGUAAGGAAUUAAAAUCGAUUUAUUCAUGCCUUAAUUUUAUUUAUCAUUAUGCAGCAUAGACGUAUUGUGGAUAUUGACUUGAAGAUUCCUCCAUGACCUCCUGGUUAUGCUUUUCUUGAGGUUAGUAUUUUGUCAUGGUCAUGUAGAAUUUUCACUGUAAUGUGAGGCUUGUACUUAGAAUUUGUAAUAGAAGUCUUAUUGUUAUUAUUUGGGAUUCAAAAUAGUCUCUUAACUAUGUGUAUAAUUUUUGGGUUGAUAUAACUAAUGAUCUUUUUAGUCCGAGGAUCCUUGUGAUGCCGAUGAUUUAAUUUAUGGUCGUGAUGGGUAUGACUUUGAUGGCUACGGGCUGCGGGUAUGCAUGUAGUGCAUGUUGCCUUUUUUUUGCUGAAAGCAAAGACUGAUUUCUGGUGCCUGUUUUUUUAAAAGGUAUUUCUCAGGUGGAAUUCACAUAUCAUGGUAUUCCUGUAUCGCGCACAUAUUGUCAUAUCAUGGUAUUCUUAUCUUGCACGCAUAUCGGAUACAUAUUUGGAAGUAGCAAAAUGUACUGGUGGUAUAACUGCAUAUAUACAUGUAUUGUUCAUAUGCAUUGUAUGUUUCUCUAAUGUGUUCUUGUAAUAUAAUUGUUUUACAAGCACACAAACUGAGUUUCAGAUCUUUAUUUUAUAUAUAGGUCUUAGAUUUCAAUUAUAGGUCCUACAUUUUGAUUAAAAACACAAAUGUAGAGUUGUAGGGAUUUUUAGUUCUGGAUUAUUUACCUCUCAUGUCGUGGACUACAAAUAUUGUGGUUGGACGAGAACAUUUUUUUGUUGUAUUUUAAGUCAAUGCAGACUGUUGUAGUUUUGAUAUCAUGAUAUCUGUUUUGUAAACAACCUUCGAUAACCUAGUGUUUUUGCUUGGGUUGGAUAAAAGAUACUUCUGGCGUAUAGCAGAAAACCCUGCUUGAUCGAAUGCUCUUGAUUUGUUUUCUUUUCUGCUGAAGCCUACUAUUUUAUGUUGUGCUUGUUUCCAAAUUCCGUUUGACAUACCUUUACAGUGCGCUGAUUUCCAUAGCUGCUAAACGUUUCCUGUAAUAUACCCUUAUUAUCCUCUAGGCUUGGUAAGAUCGGAUCUCAGCCUAAUGCUAGAGCUCUCUUCAGAUGGUUUCGACAAUUGAGCCUGACUCGGGAUAUCAGUCCUGAAUCUUUAUUUUUUUCUCGUGAAAUACUUACAACUUGGCAACUUGGCACGAGCCGCUAUUGCCUUGCGCUCUUGAAGAUAGUUGGUGAUUUUUCACGUGGGGAUUUCUAACAAGCAAUGACUAUGCCAUCUUUAAAGUUUCUAUUUGUUUUCUAGAUUUGUUUGUAAUCCUCCUGCUGCUGCUGUCUCUCUAAUUUCUAGACUUAUGAGGUUGUUGUGAAUGGUCUGAUUACAAGGGAUGCUACACUGCCUUAUCAGUAUGAUGGUUUAUGAUAUGUUGGCGAGGCUGUGCAAGGUCCAUUGCAUGGCCAUCUAGCAAGGUAAACACCAACCAUGUAUUCAGUAUAUUACUCCGAAUACCUUGAUAAUUUGUGUAAUGACCCUAUGCCAUUGCAGAAGUUCUUGUCAACAUCCUGUUGGGAAGGAAAUGCAUAAAGAACCUAGUAUUCGGUUGUCCGCAUCAAUUGGAUGAUUUUGUAAUGGAGGACAUUCCUUGCUAUUUGGAGAUGCUGCAUCUUUAGCUUUCAUUUUGUAAAACUGGAUCUAUGUCGUGUCUUUUGACACUCAACCAACAUGUGUAAUGCACUUAAUUAUCUUUGUUUUUGUAGCAAUCUAGGUGUAGUGACUCAUUAGAACGAAUGAACUAUUUGUAUGUGUGAUGAUCUAAUGUAUGAUGCUAUCAUUUUUUCCGUUGUGUCCUUCUGGAUUUAAGAUUAUGCAUGUUG
rnacentral:lncRNA from 1 species